rnacentral:rRNA from 1 species
CUACGGGUGGCUCCAGUGGGGAAUAUUGGACAAUGGGGGAAACCCUGAUCCAGCAAUGCCGCGUGUGUGAAGAAGGCCUGCGGGUUGUAAAGCACUUUCGGUUGGGAGGACUGCUUCUAGCACUAAUAUUGUUGGAAGUUGACGUUACCUUCAGAAGAAGCACCGGCUAACUCCGUGCCGGCAGCCGCGGUAAUACGGAGGGUGCAUGCGUUAAUCGGAAUUACCGGGCGUAAAGCGCGCGUAGGCGGCUAGAUCAGUCGGGUGUGAAAGCCCCGGGCUUAACCUGGGAACUGCAUCCGAUACUGUCUAGCUUGAGUACAGGAGAGGAGAGUGGAAUUCCACAUGUAGCGGUGAAAUGCGUAGAUAUGUGGAGGAACACCAAUGGCGAAGGCAGCUCUCUGGCCUGAUACUGACGCUGAGGUGCGAAAGCGUGGGGAGCAAACAGGAUUAGAUACCCCAGUAGUC